CCCCUCUUUCUCUCCCUCUCCCGCUGCCGCCGCCUCCGGCUUCCCCGUCGCCUCGCGUCGCCGUCGCCGUCGAUCGCCCCUCAAACCCUUGCUGCCGCCGCCGCUCGCUCCCCCUCGUCCCCCACUCUCUCCCUCUCCCGCCGCCGCCGCCUCGCGCCGCCACCUCCGCCUCGCGCCGUCAUCGCUGUCGCCUCGCGCCGCCACGGACGUCGCCGCCUCCGGCUUCCCCGUCGCCGUCGACCGCCCCCGCCACCAUCGCGGGCCCCCGAAACCCUAGUCGCUGCCGCCCGCUCCCUCUCGUCCCACCCCCUCCCUCGAUGCUCCUUCUCCCGCGACGACGUCUCGAGGUACGUGGUGCUGAGCACGGCGGUGAACUGUUGGGGGAGGUUGGGGGGGGGGGGGUGAGCAUCGUGCUGGAGAAGAAGGCGUUCGUGGUGGAGCUGUUCGACAAGUAUGUCAAGACGCUCGGCUCCGGGAUCGACGUGCUCGCCCCCCUCGUCGACCACAUCGCCUACGUCCACUCGCUCAAGGAGGAGGCCAUCCCCAUCCCUGACCAGUCCGCCAUCACCAAGGACAACGUCUCCAUCCAGAUCGACGGCGUCCUCUGCGUCAAGUGCCAGCAAUUUGCCUCCCUCAUCAGGGCCACAUCUACAUGUGGAGUUCAUCUCCCAUAAAAGAGGAUCCACAUAGUAUACCUCACACAUGAACUCUGUAAUAAGCUGUGGUGAUCUUUAUAUGCUUCACCAACUGGUGACCAAUGGGCUCUUUUCUGAGAAAACAGCCCAGUUUCCUCUUAAUUUUGUUAAUUUUGCACCUUGGUGCUCGUGAAGCAAGUGCACUAAGUUCAGAUGAUGAAGCACAUCUUGCCUUCAAGAAGGCAGUUACAACUUCUGAUGGGAUAUUCCUCAACUGGCGUGAACAAGAUGUGUAUCCUUGCAAUUGGAAGGUUGUUAGAUGUCACAGUCACACCAAGAGAGUAAUUUAUCUCUCCAACCUCUGGGUGCCAUCAGCCAAUUGUUACUUCUCAGUUGCGUGCUUCUUCCACUCUCACUACAAGUCUGGGCAGUCAAGCACUUAUCAGAAGAAUGGAUGUUUUCCUCCGUUCCUCUAUCAUCAUUCCCUAUGACGAGUAAAAAGAGUGAGAUCAUAUGGCAACAUUCUUUGUGAAAGCAACACAUCCAUAUCUGGAUGUAGUGGUUGCCAUAAUGGAGACAAGGAGCUGUUGAAUGCAGUAUUGCUUGAUGUUAAAAGUGGGUCACAAUUUCCAGUGUUGGAAUCUAAUUCAGUACAUGGCAAUGAAAUUUCAUUGACCUCUGAAAGUGAGGUAUCAAACUUAAGGUAUACUCCCAUGGUACCUCAGAUACAUCAUGUUCUAGGUGUUGAAACUGAAAGUUGCAUUCAUUCUGGUGAUUCAAACUUUCUGGAUCUUGAAUGGCUUUCAGCUUCAGGCAACUCAAGCGAUGAAAGGUGUUUACUUUUGCAUUGCUAUUGUAUUUUUUUUAGCGUUUUUGACUGACAGAAUAUCAUCUUCUCAGUGACAGUCAAUUUGAUUUACACAUUUUUUUUGCCUUAGUGUAGGAAAAAGUGAAGGAUAAUUAUUAGUUGAUUAUCCUGUAAAUUUCUUACCCUUCAUGCUUAAUUCCAUAUCAAUCUAUUCUAGAGUUCUUUUGCUCUCACUGCAUUUCCAUGUGAUAAACACAAAUCUGUAGUAUCGUGCUGUACCACUUGAUAUAACUAUCUGUAUUGAGAAGUAAAAUGGAAAUAUUAUGUUGCCACGCUUCCUAAAUCCAA